AUUAUACCCAAAUUUGAUCAGGGGAGACCCCUGAAGGUCUUGGCUACAGACAGCAAGAAAGAAAUCAUGAUGGCCAAUACCAGGUGACGUGGUGCUGAUCCCUCUCCAAGGGAACAUCUCUGAGACUGCCUGCGACUUGAAAAUCUCCCUCCAGCAUCGAGUUUGCUGGCAGGAUGCCAUGCUUCCUGCUGUGAUGAUGAACUGAACCUCUGAAACUAUAAAUGAACUCUAAUUAAAUGUUUUCUUUUACAAGAGUUGCCUUUGUUGUAGUGUCCCUUCGCAGCAAUGAAACCCAACCUAAGACAGUUAUACAGUCCAAACUAACUUGUAAAGACGACAGGUACCUUUCACCCGGUCAUACAAAGAGCAGAGAAUCAUAUUUCACAGAUCUGUGUAUAUUUCAAAUUCCAUACAUGUAUUAAUACAAAAAUAUAGCUACCUCUGAAAGUUAUAUUUUUACAGAGUAAGACAUCCAGAUACCAGUGAGUUGGAGCAGCCCUGACAGGAUUCUGAGAAGGAUGCUGAGAUACUGAGACUGUUUAUUCCAGCAUCCAACUUGAUCCAACCUUAGACUGCCUUAAUAGCUGUUUUAUCCAAACUUGCUUCAAGGACAGCUUCAAAGAAAGGUGCUGACAUCAGAAGACCCCAAAUGAUCCAGCCUCACAGACUGUUUCAGUCAGGACUUCAUUUAAGACUGCGCUUUUGUGACACACAGAGACUGGACAGCAAUUGUUACAGCGAGCUUUCUUAAGACUGGCCAGUAGCUCAAUUUUCUUGCCCUACCCUCAAUGGAAAAAAGAUGCCUCGGACAUCAAGAAGCAAUUUUAAUGACUCUCUAACUCUCAAAACAUGGGGUGGGUGGUUUUGCUCAUUUGUUGGAUGGUGAUCAUUCUUAAAAGGAUGUUGGUUACAAGUUGUUAAUGGUCUUGAUCAGGGAGGAAACAAGGUAUAGGUGAUUAGACUCAGGGAUUUCUCUCUUCCUUUUUCUUUCCUCUGUCCUUUCUUGUCAGGUGUUAAUGGGGAGAAGGGUUGAAAAGUGCUGGCAGAAUAUAGGAAUAAUAUAUUAAUAUGAUAUAAUUAAUAUAAUAUAAUAAUAGACAUAUGGUUAGGUUAUUGAAUCUACUCUUAAACUAUAGAGUUAUUUUUAGCCAAAAAUCUUACAAUGAUAUAGAUCAUUGUAUAUUGAUAUGAAAUUAAGGUUAUAUUUGCUUAAAAUAUAGUAUGUAAGUUACAAUUUCUAUUUAAGAUAUUGAACCUAUGCAGUUCAUUUUAAAAUACAAUGUGGAGUUCUAGACCUUGAAAUCUGCUAUUACAAAAUAUUUAGGAUAAUUAAGAAAUGUUAGUUGAUAGUCAGGUAAUCAAAUUCAUCUAGAUAGUAGUCUAGUUAAUUACAGAAAGAUGUUUUCAAAGUUGAACAGAUAGUAAAUAUCUAGAAACAAAGAAUGUAUGCCUAUUCAGAUAUACUAUAGUUAGAGAGCUGGUCUUCCAAAACUUCAGAGAUCCACAGAUUGUGGCACUUAAAGAUAUUUUAUUAAUUAAAGGCUUUUCUAGACAUGUCAGCUCCUGGAAGCACCCCUGUUCUACUUUUAAAAAGAUGCUGAGCAUCCAAGAAUCUCCAUAUGGAGUUUGCUUUAGAAUUGGUAAGCUGGGGCUGGAGAGAUGGCUCAGCGGUUAAGAGCAUUACUUGCUCUUCCAGAGGCCCUGAGUUCAAUUCCCAGCAACCACAUGGGGUGGCUCACAACCAUCUGUAGUGGGAUCUGAUGCCCUCUCCUGGGUGUAGGAGGAGAAGAAGAAG
rnacentral:lncRNA from 1 species